GUGGUGGUGGUGUAAUGGUAGGCAUAGCUGCUUUGCAAGCAGUUGACCUGGGUUUGAAUCCCAGCCAUCACA